rnacentral:lncRNA from 1 species
GGGCCUUCGUUCUUUAACAACAUGAUGUAGUUCAAUUCUCUUGCACGGGCCCGAGUCACUGGCCCAGGUGGAAGGGGUGGCGCCUGGGCUGGAGAAGGUGCUGCUGGUGUAGAUGUGCUCGUGUUGGUGUUGAUGUCCGCAUCAUCCUCCCCUUCUUGAACUGAAGUCGUCCUCGACGGCAACUCCUCAUCUUCUCCCGCAUACGGUUUCAAAUCUGCAACAUUAAAACUAGUGGAAACACCAAACUCCGCAGGUAGGUCGAGGGUAUAAGCAUUAUCAUUAAUCUUGGUUAGUAUCUUAAAAGGACCAGCAGCACGAGGCAUCAAUUUAGAACGGCGCAAAGUAGGAAAACGAUCCUUUCUCAAAUGCAACCAAACCAUAUCACCAGGUUCAAAAGUAACAUGUUUUCUUCCUUUACUACCAGCAACCUGAUUUUUUGUAUUAGUAGCAGCAAUGUUCUGUUUCGUUUGUUCAUGUAUGGUAAUCAUUUGUUCAACAUGUGCAGAAGCAUCUACAUGUGGGGCGUUCGCAGCAUUAAGUGAAAUCAAAUCAAUAGGUGCCCUAGGAAUGUAACCAUAAACAAUCUGGAAAGGGCACAUCUUUGUAGAAGAAUGCGUGGCAUGAUUGUAAGCAAAUUCAACAUGAGGCAAGCAAUCCUCCCAACGUCUCAAAUUCUUGUCUAAAACAGCCCUAAGCAUGGUAGAUAAAGUUCUAUUUACUACCUCAGUUUGUCCAUCAGUCUGAGGGUGACAAGUAGUGCUAAACAAUAAUUUAGUUCCCAAUUUAUUCCAAAGAGAUCUCCAAAAAUGGCUUAGAAACUUAGCAUCGCGAUCAGAGACUAUUGUUUUUGGAAUACCAUGUAAACGAAUAAUUUCUCUAAAGAACAAUUCAGCAACAAUGCUAGCAUCAUCAGUUUUAUGACAAGGUAUAAAAUGAGCCAUUUUAGAGAAUCUAUCAACAACCACAAAAAUACUAUCCCUCCCCUUCUUAGUUCUAGGCAAGCCCAAAACAAAGUCCAUAGAGAUAUCAAGCCAAGGAGAAGAAGGGACAGGCAAAGGCAUAUACAAACCAUGGUUGUUCAACCGUGACUUAGCUUUCUGACAAGUAGUGCAGCGUGCAACAAGGCGCUCCACAUCAGCGCGCAUCCGAGGCCAAAAGAAGUGGGCAGCCAACACCUCAUGUGUCUUGUAGACGCCAAAAUGCCCCAUGAGACCGCCUCCAUGCGCUUCCUGUAACAACAAAAGACGAACCGAGCUAGCUGGAACACACAGCUUGUUAGCGCGAAACAGGAACCCAUCCUGUAUGUGAAAUUUGCCCCAUGGUUUCCCAUUAAUACAAUGGCCGAAAGCAUCUUUAAAAUCAGCAUCGUCAACAUAUUGAUCCUUCACAGUGUCCAAACCAAAGAUUUUAAAAUCUAACUGUGACAGCAUGGUAUAGCGACGAGACAAAGCAUCAGCAAUAACAUUGUCCUUCCCGUUCUUGUGUUUAAUAAUGUAAGGAAAGGACUCAAUGAAUUCGACCCAUUUAGCAUGACGACGGUUCAGAUUUGUUUGGGUACGAAUAUGUUUUAAAGCCUCAUGAUCAGAAUGAAUUAUGAACUCACGAUGCCAAAGAUAAUGCUGCCAAGUAUGCAAAGUGCGCACUAAAGCGUAAAGCUCCUUAUCAUAAGUAGAAUAUUUCAGACUAGCACCGCUUAAUUUUUCACUAAAAUAAGCAACUGGUUUUCCUUCUUGUAACAAAACAGCACCUAGCCCAAUACCGCUAGCAUCGCAUUCAAGCUCAAAAACUUUAUUAAAAUCAGGCAAUUGCAAGAGGGGAGCUUGGGUUAACUUAUCUUUCAAAGUGCUGAACGCUACCUCCUGCGAAUCACUCCAAGCAAACGGCACAUCUUUCUUUGUAAGCUCAUGUAGAGGCGCUGCAAUGGAGCUAAAAUCACGAACAAAUCUGCGGUAGAAACCGGCAAGUCCAAGAAAGCUCCGAAUUUGUGUGACCGUCGUCGGUGUAGGCCACUCCCGAAUGGCAGCAAUCUUGCUGCUAUCCACCUCAAUGCCCUGCGGAGUAACCACAUAACCAAGAAACGAGACACGUUGCGUGCAAAAUGUGCAUUUUUCCAUGUUACCAAACAAGCGAGCAGCACGCAAAGCGUCAAAAACAGCACGCAAAUGUUCUAAAUGCUCCUCUAUAGACUUGCUGUAAAUAAGGAUAUCAUCGAAAUAAACAACAACAAACAAACCUAUGAAGGCCCGUAGAACUUCGUUCAUUAAACGCAUAAAGGUGCUGGGAGCAUUAGUCAAUCCAAAUGGCAUAACCAACCAUUCAUAUAAACCAAAUUUCGUUUUAAAAGCCGUUUUCCAUUCAUCACCGAGUUUCAUUCUAAUCUGAUGGUAACCGCUACGCAAAUCAACCUUAGAGAAAAUAACGGCACCACUAAGCUCAUCUAGCAUAUCAUCAAGGCGUGGAAUAGGAUAUCGAUAACGAACUGUGAUGUUAUUAAUAGCACGACAAUCUACGCACAUACGCCAUGACCCAUCUUUCUUUGGAACGAGUAAAACAGGAACCGAGCAAGGGCUAAGAGACUCACGAAUGUAACCCUUAUCAAGCAACGUCUGCACCUGGCGCUGGAUCUCCUUCGUCUCAUCUGGAUUUGUACGGUACGGGGCGCGGUUCGGAAGAGAAGCGCCGGGGAUGAGAUCGAUCUGAUGCUCAAUGCCACGGAGGGGAGGAAGACCCGGUGGUAAGUCCGUAGGAUAAACAUCAGCAUACUCCUGCAAAAGGUUAACAACAGCAGGGGGUAUAUCCAAAGACGGUGCAUCAUCAAGCGGAACAAGCAUUCGCGAGCAUACAAGUGCAUAACAGGGCAUAUGAGCUUCAUGGAGAUCAUCAAAAUCAGCACGUGUAGCAAGUAAAACAGGAGAGUGCAACUUGAUUUCAGAUUUAAUAGGUGCGGCUGAUGUCGAUUUGACUUGUUGUGCAGUUUUAGCAGCCCUAGUAAGAUCAUCUUUCAAAAUUUGGUCAGGGGUCAUUGGAUGUAUAAUUAUUUUCUGGCCUUUAAACAUGAAAGAAUAAUGAUUUGAACGACCAUGAUGUAAACUAUCAGUAUCAUAUUGCCAAGGUCGACCUAAUAACAAAGAGCAUGCUUCCAUAGGAAUAACAUCGCAAUCAGCAUAAUCAGAAUAAGAACCCAGCGAGAAGGGGACACGUACCGAACGUGUUACCUUUAUUUUACCACCAUCAUUAAGCCAUUGAAUGUGAUACGGAUGUGGAUGUGUGCGAGUGGGCAAAGAUAAUUUCUCUACCAACGUUGUACUUGCCAAAUUGUUGCAGCUGCCACUAUCGAUGAUGAUGCGAAUCGACCGUUCGUGCACGACGCCCUUGGUAUGGAAUAGAGUGUGUCGCUGAUUUUUUUCGGCCUGGGCAACCUGUGUGCUGAGAACACGCUGCACAACAAGACUCUCAUACCUAUCGGCGUCGAUGGGAUCAACGUGGACUUCCUCAUUUUCUGCAUGGUUAGUGGCAAUCAUAGCAUGACUAGUUUCCUCAGAAUCACUGGCUGAAGAGUACUCACCAUUGUCACGUAUAAGCAAGGUACGCUUGUUUGGGCAGUCCCGAAUCAUGUGCCCAAACCCUCUGCAACGAUGGCACUGAAUAUCCCGUGUACGUCCUGUGGAAGAAGCGGCGCCUUUGGCAGGGGGCGCCACUAGCUUGGUCGUCCCUGUGCGUGAUGUAGUGCUAGGCGUAGAAGGUGCAGGGCUGGAAGGAGUUGAGCUAUUUGUUGGACCCCGGCCUGCAAAAGAGUUAGUAUAUGUCUUUGAUCGUCGUCCCUGCACUUCACGUUCAGCUUUGCAAGCAUAUUCAAACAAUGUGGUUAUAUCAAAAUAAUCCUUAUAAUCAAGUAUAUCCUGAAUUUCCCUGUUCAAACCACCACGAAAACGCGCCAUAGCAGCGUCAUCCGACUCAACCAAACCACAACGAAGCAUACCCUUUUGUAACUCCUGGUAAUAUUCCUCAACAGAUUGUGAACCUUGUUGAAAACGCUGCAUUUUGUUAAGCAAAUCACGAGCAUAAUAGGAAGGAACAAAUCUGUGGCGCAUGGCAGUUUUUAAUUGGGUCCAAGUAAUGACACUGUUAAUGGGAAGUUUUUGUUUAUACUCACGCCACCAAAUUAAAGCAAAAUCAGUAAAUUCACUAAUGGCAGCCUUCACUUGGCUAUUAGCAGGAAUAUCAUGGCAUGAAAAUUUCUGUUCUACCUCUAAUUCCCAAUCAAGAUAUGCAGCAGGAUCAUAUUUACCAUUAAAAGAUGGAAUUUUAAAUUUAAUCUUAGAAAAUAAGUCAUUAGGGGGAUGACGAACCACACGACGUGCACGACCACGGCGAUCUCCAUCGUCCUGCUCAGUGUCACCGCCGUAUUCCUGCUCCAUCUUUGUGGUCAAUGCAUCAAGGCGUGCAAGGAUGGUGUCGAGUGUGGUGCGAGUCGCCGUUUGAGCAAGGUCAAGUUGGUUGAAACGCUCGGUCGUCGAAGUGAUCGUUGAAUCAAGCCGUUCAUGCAUCGUCCUAAUGUCAGCAGCAAGUCCAUCAACUUGUCCCCUUACUUCCUGCAACUGGGCGUCCACCAUGUCGUGUGCUCCUGCCAUAGUUAGCGCAAACACCAAAAGAAGAAAAACCAACGACAAAAACAGGGGUGUACUGCUCACAAGGCGCUCACACUAGUGCUGUUAUCAAGUUCUUAUCCGUUCUUACCAAGCCACAGUGGUGAACUGCAAUCAACAGAUGGAACCGGUGAAAGAUUGGAUGAGCGAUUGCGUGGAGAAACAGAAACCUGCUCGUCGUAGAAAUAUGUGGAGUUGUGGGUAGGCUGCACUCAAGUCAAGGAUUAGCACGAUCAAACAAUAAUGCAAAGUUGAAUUAUAGUGCAAAACACGAAACUAUAUUGCUGGCCACAGGUGCAAAAGAUGGAUGGAACUAGCAGAAUGGCAGUACCGUAAAUAUUGUACUAGUGAUGCCAAAAAGGCACUAGUAGAAAUCACAGGUGAUUUUGUUUUUCUUUUUUGUAUGAUUUUUUUGAUAUUUUUCUCAGCACAAGAAGCAACAAGAUAGGAGCUAGACGAAGUUUCACCUAAAACAGAGAUCAGAUGUGGUCUACAGAAAAUCAGGAAGUUCUCUGAAAAGCGUGCGAGAACUUUGACGGAUUUUUUUCUUUAUUUUCCUGAAUUUUUUUGACAAUUUUGUCGAACCCAAACAGACCGAAGGUUAGUUUGGCCGGGCUCAGAAUGGUGUCAACAAGCUCCUGUAAAAAUUUCAGAUUUUUUGGACACCCGAGCGAAAAGUUAUGCCCGUUUUACGGAAGGUACCUCAAGUUAUGUUCUAAAAACGACCGGGAUGAAGCAACUGUAUCCUUUCUCCUUCGUUAUCUUUUUUUUCUGUUUUUUUUUUGACGUAACCGAAGGAGAAAAACAAGGAAGCGGCCGUUGACUCGGUAUGUUUUUUUUUCUGUUUUUUUUUGACGUAACCGAAGGAGAAAAAUAAGGAAACGAUGUUGACUCGGUUUGUGGCGUGAUCAAACGGGAGAUGGUGGCGGCGCUAGGGUUUGAAUGGUGGAAGAACACAAUGCAACCAGCAACAAAUAACGCGAAAGCACACAAAUUCAACAAUGCAGAUUAUUGAAAGAAAGUGCGAGGCUCAAAAGGGUGCUGGGAUAAGAUCUAACCUGAAUUUUUAUGUGGUUUUGUGGACUGUAGGAAAAAAAAACGCUCGAUAAACUCACCGAUCAACCUGGAAAUCUGAUACCAAUUGAUGAAGCUAAGGUGCCCGAUCUUUCGGCGAGUAGAGAUAAUUCCGAUUUGUCGGAAGAUGACCCUUGCGAUCCGACUACGACGAGCAAGCCCGAGGCGCCAAUGCAAUCGCUGAACCAACUCCCUGUGGUUACCGACCUUGCUGAUGCGAGAUCGGCCUGAUCACGAAGAUCGUUUCCUGUGCGCAAUCGAAGAACGAACAAGAACAAGAUGCGAGCAAUCUAAUCUAUUACUCGAGGGUGGAGUUCUGAAUACACGAAGACAGCGCAGAUUUGCGCGUGUUCGAGAGUAGCUAAGGCUAACGUAAAACAAAACUCAGGAAAUAAAGGAGGCGCAGCUCCUGAAUAAAUAGAGAGGGGGCGCAGCCCCUAGGGGCGGCCAACCCUAGGUCGUCCAUUAUGGGCCGCAAUUGGGCUGGUCGUCUAUUCUUCCGGGCCUUCGUUCUUUAACAACAUGAUGUAGUUCAAUUCUCUUGCACGGGCCCGAGUCACUGGCCCAGGUGGAAGGGGUGGCGCCUGGGCUGGAGAAGGUGCUGCUGGUGUAGAUGUGCUCGUGUUGGUGUUGAUGUCCGCAUCAAAAAGACAAAAUCUUGAUUUCAUUGGUAAACAAGGUGAAAGAAGAUGAAGCUGGUUUCAAAGCUCAAGCCGAAAUCCAAAAGAAUGAAAUCGAAGACCUUCAGAAACAGUUGGCAGAAGCCAAAGAAAAAUGCGCUCUCGCAGAAGCUAACCGAGAGAUCAGCGAUUAUUGGAAAACCCAUUUAGAGAAAACAGUUGAAGAACU